GACGAACGCUGGCGGCGUGCUUAACACAUGCAAGUCGAACGGAAAGGCCUGCUUUCCCUUGUGGAUUGCGGGUACUCGAGUGGCGAACGGGUGAGUAACACGUGAGUGAUCUGCCCCCAACUUGGGUAUAAGCCUGGGAAACUGGGUCUAAUUCCCGAUAGUACUGCAGGGUGGUGCCUGUGGUGGAAAACGAUUUUCUAGUGGUUGGGGAUGAGCUCGCGGCCUAUCAGCUUGUUGGUGGGGUAAUGGCCUACCAAGGCGGCGACGGGUAGCCGGCCUGAGAGGGUGGACGGCCACAUUGGGACUGAGAUACGGCCCAGACUCCUACGGGAGGCAGCAGUGGGGAAUAGUGCACAAUGGGCGGAAGCCUGAUGCAGCGACGCCGCGUGGGGGAUGACGGCCUUCGGGUUGUAAACUCCUUUCGACCGCGAGGAAGCCACCUGGUUGGAAGGGUGGUGACGGUAGUGGUAGAAGAAGCACCGGCUAACUACGUG
rnacentral:rRNA from 1 species